rnacentral:rRNA from 1 species
AAUUCUAGAGCUAAUACAUGCCGAUAGAGUUCCGCCCAUCAGUCGAGUUGGUUCGCAAGUCUCUUGCGUCCUCUCGACGUUCGGAAGGAACGCUUUUAUUAGAUCAAAACCGGCCAGACGGCGUAUUGUUUCGACAAUGCGUCGUAAACGGCCCGCGCAAAGACUUGGUGACUCUGAAUAACUUUGAGCUGAUCGCACGGUCUUAGCACCGGCGACGCAUCUUUCAAAUGUCUGCCUUAUCAACUGUCGACGGUAGGUUCGACGCCUACCGUGGUGGUAACGGGUAACGGGGAAUCAGGGUUCGAUUCCGGAGAGGGAGCCUGAGAAACGGCUACCACAUCCAAGGAAGGCAGCAGGCGCGCAAAUUACCCACUCCCGGCACGGGGAGGUAGUGACGAAAAAUAACGAUACGGGACUCAAAUGAGGCCCCGUAAUCGGAAUGAGUACACUGUAAAACAUUGGUCGCACGAGGAUCAAUUGGAGGGCAAGUCUGGUGCCAGCAGCUGCGGUAAUUCCAGCUCCAAUAGCGUAUAUUAAAGUUGUUGCGGUUAAAAAGCUCGUAGUUGGAAUCUGUGUUCAGCUUAGUCGGCUAUGUGCCGUACUGAGUUGAUUUGCGAGCAGUGAUAGUUCCCGGCGUGCCAGCGGGAGGCAGGCGGACACGUUCCCGACCGGCGCGUCUGGUUUCGGCUGUUGGGAGGCGGCCGCCGAUAAAUCCUGUUCGUGCGUUGGCGUCUAACUUCGGUUGUCGCGGCGUACGGCGGGCCGGCACGUUUACUUUGAACAAAUUAGAGUGCUCAAAGCAGGCUCGAAAAAGGCGUGUGCCCUCGUGGUAUGCGUCAUACAGCCCUGAAUAUGGUCGCAUGGAAUAAUGGAACAAGACCUCGGUCCCGCCUCUACGGGUCGCGUUCUGAUUGGUCGUUCCCGGAUCAGUUCGGGUCACGAUCGUUGGCCGGUUUUCGGGACCGGAGGUAAUGAUCAACAGAGACAGGCGUGGGCAUUCGUACCGCGACGUUAGAGGUGAAAUUCUUGGAUCGUCGCGAGACGAACCGAAGCGAAAGCAUUUGCCAAGUAUGUUCUCGUCUGAUCAAGAACGAAAGUUAGAGGUUCGAAGGCGAUCAGAUACCGCCCUAGUUCUAACCGUAAACGAUGCCAGCUAGCGAUCCGCCGUUGUUUCUAGUAUGACUCGGCGGGCAGCUUCCGGGAAACCGAAGCUUUUCGGUUCCGGGGGAAGUAUGGUUGCAAAGCUGAAACUUAAAGGAAUUGACGGAAGGGCACCACCAGGAGUGGAGCCUGCGGCUUAAUUUGACUCAACACGGGAAACCUCACCAGGCCCGGACACCGGAAAGAUUGACAGAUUGAGAGCUCUUUCUUGAUUCGGUGGGUGGUGGUGCAUGGCCGUUCUUAGUUGGUGGAGCGAUCUGUCUGGUUAAUUCCGAUAACGAACGAGACUCUGUCCUGCUAACUAGGCGUUGGUGUUGUGCAUCGCGGCCGUCACCAGUAGGUAAACGACACCAAUUAGAGCUACCGCCGGCUUAAUAAGCUUAAACUCUUCUUAGAGGGACAGGCGGCGGACUAACAUAGCCGCACGAGACUGAGCGAUAACAGGUCUGUGAUGCCCUUAGAUGUUCUGGGCCGCACGCGCGCUACACUGAAGGAAUCAGCGUGUAAAUAUUUCCCGGGCCGAGAGGCUAUCCGGGUAACCCGCUGAACCUCCUUCGUGCUAGGGAUCGGGGCUUGCAAUUAUUCCCCGUGAACGAGGAAUUCCCAGUAAGCGCGAGUCAUCAGCUCGCGUUGAUUACGUCCCUGCCCUUUGUACACACCGCCCGUCGCUACAACCGAUUGAACGACCGCAGUGAGGUCUUCGGACCGAGGCGCGGCGGCGUUGCCUU